GUAGGUGGCAAGCGUUGUCCGGAAUUAUUGGGGCGUAAAGCGCGCGCAGGCGGUUCUUUAAGUCUGAUGUGAAAGCCCACGGGCUCAACCGUGGAGGGUCAUUGGAAACUGGAGAACUUGAGUACAGAAGAGGAAAGCGGAAUUCCACGUGUAGCGGUGAAAUGCGUAGAGAUGUGGAGGAACACCAGUGGCGAAGGCGGCUUUCUGGUCUGUAACUGACGCUGAAGCGCGAAAGCGUGGGGAGCAAACAGGAUUAGAUACCCUGGUAGUCCACGCCGUAAACGAUGAGUGCUAAGUGUUAGGGGGUUUCCGCCCCUUAGUGCUGCAGCUAACGCAUUAAGCACUCCGCCUGGGGAGUACGGCCGCAAAGGCUG
rnacentral:rRNA from 1 species